AUCAACUUUCGAUGGUAGGAUAGAGGCCUACCAUGGUGGUAACGGGUAACGGGGUGUUAGGGCACGACACCGGAGAGGGAGCCUGAGAAACGGCUACCACAUCCAAGGAUGGCAGCAGGCGCGCAAAUUACCCAAUCCCGACACGGGGAGGUAGUGACAAUAAAUAACAAUACGGGGUUCUUUCGGAUCUCGUAAUUGGAAUGAGUACAAUUUAAAUCUCUUAACGAGGAACAAUUGGAGGGCAAGUCUGGUGCCAGCAGCCGCGGUAAUUCCAGCUCCAAUAGCGUAUAUUAAAGUUGUUGCAGUUAAAAAGCUCGUAGUUGAAUUUCGGGGUUAGUAAGUUGGUCAUGCCUUUGGUAUGCACUGGCUUUACUGAUUCCUCCUUCUUGACGAACCGUGAUGUCAUUAAUUUGGUGUUGCGGGAAAUCAGGACUGUUACUUUGAAAAAAUUAGAGUGUUUAAAGCAGGCUAACGCUUGAAUACAUUAGCAUGGAAUAAUGAAAUAGGACGUUAAUCCUAUUUUGUUGGUUUCUAGGAUCGACGUAAUGAUUAAUAGGGAUAGUUGGGGGCAUUAGUAUUCAAUUGUCAGAGGUGAAAUUCUUGGAUUUAUUGAAGACUAACUACUGCGAAAGCAUUUGCCAAGGAUGUUUUCAUUAAUCAAGAACGAAAGUUAGGGGAUCGAAGACGAUCAGAUACCGUCGUAGUCUUAACCAUAAACUAUGCCGACUAGGGAUCGGAUGAUGUUAAUUCUUUAAUGACUCAUUCGGCGCCUUACGGGAAACCAAAGUGUUUGGGUUC
rnacentral:rRNA from 1 species